UACGUAGGUGGCAAGCGUUGUCCGGAAUUAUUGGGCGUAAAGCGCGCGCAGGCGGUCCUUUAAGUCUGAUGUGAAAGCCCACGGCUCAACCGUGGAGGGUCAUUGGAAACUGGGGGACUUGAGUACAGAAGAGAAGAAUGGAAUUCCACGUGUAGCGGUGAAAUGCGUAGAGAUGUGGAGGAACACCAGUGGCGAAGGCGACUCUUUGGUCUGUAACUGACGCUGAGGCGCGAAAGCGUGGGGAGCAAACAGG
rnacentral:rRNA from 1 species